rnacentral:rRNA from 1 species
GACAGAGGAUGCAAGCGUUAUCCGGAAUGAUUGGGCGUAAAGCAUCUGUAGGCGGCUUUUCAAGUCCGCUGUCAAAUACCAGGGCUCAACCCUGGACAGGUGGUGGAAACUACCAAGCUGGAGUAUGGUAGGGGUAAAGGGAAUUUCCAGUGGAGCGGUGAAAUGCGUAGAGAUUGGAAAGAACACCGAUGGCGAAGGCACUUUACUGGGCUAUUACUAACACUCAGAGACGAAAGCUAGGGUAGCAAAUGGG